CUGCUCGCUUCAAGAGCACAUAUACUAAAGUUGGAAUGACACAUACAAGAUUAGCAUGGGCCCUGUGCAAAGAUGACAUGCAAAUUUAUAAAGUGUUUCAUAUUUUA